rnacentral:rRNA from 1 species
AACGAACGCUGGCGGCAGGCCUAACACAUGCAAGUCGAACGCCCGUAGCAAUACGGGAGUGGCAGACGGGUGAGUAACGCGUGGGAACGUGCCCUUCGGUUUGGAAUAACUCAGGGAAACUUGAGCUAAUACCAAAUACGUCCGUAAGGAGAAAGAUUUAUCGCCGAAGGAUCGGCCCGCGUCGGAUUAGCUAGUUGGUGAGGUAACGGCCCACCAAGGCGACGAUCCGUAGCUGGUCUGAGAGGAUGAUCAGCCACACUGGGACUGAGACACGGCCCAGACUCCUACGGGAGGCAGCAGUGGGGAAUAUUGGACAAUGGGCGAAAGCCUGAUCCAGCCAUGCCGCGUGAGUGAAGAAGGCCUUAGGGUUGUAAAGCUCUUUCAGCGGGGAAGAUAAUGACGGUACCCGCAGAAGAAGCCCCGGCUAACUUCGUGCCAGCCGCCGCU